UACGCAGGGGGCAAGCGUUGUCCGGAUUUAUUGGGCGUAAAGAGCGUGUAGGCGGUCAGGUAGGUCGGUUGUGAAAACUGGAGGCUCAACCUUCAGAGGUCGACCGAAACCCCCUGGCUAGAGUCCGGGAGAGGAGAGUGGAAUUCCUGGUGUAGCGGUGAAAUGCGCAGAUAUCAGGAAGAACACCCGUGGCGAAAGCGGCUCUCUGGAACGGUACUGACGCUGAGACGCGAAAGCGUGGGGAGCGAACAAG
rnacentral:rRNA from 1 species